rnacentral:misc_RNA from 1 species
AAGUCGUAACAAGGUCUCCGUAGGUGAACCUGCGGAGGGAUCAUUACUGAGUGAGGGUCCUCGCGGCCCGACCUCCUACCCUCUGUCUAAUCGACUCUGUUGCUUCGGGGUACCGCCUUGACCGGCGGCCCCGGAGGUGAAUACACUGCAUUUCUGCGUCCGAGUCGAACUACGAAUAAAAUAAAA